AGUGAACGCUGGCGGUAGGCCUAACGCAUGCAAGUCGAACGGCAGCACAGUAAGAGCUUGCUCUUACGGGUGGCGAGUGGCGGACGGGUGAGGAAUACAUCGGAAUCUACUUUUUCGUGGGGGAUAACGUAGGGAAACUUACGCUAAUACCGCAUACGACCUACGGGUGAAAGCAGGGGAUCUUCGGACCUUGCGCGAUUGAAUGAGCCGAUGUCGGAUUAGCUAGUUGGCGGGGUAAAGGCCCACCAAGGCGACGAUCCGUAGCUGGUCUGAGAGGAUGAGCGGCAACAAUGGAACUGAGACACGGUCGAGGCUACUACGGGAGGCAGAAGUAGGGAAUGGGUGGCAAUGGGCGAAAGCCUGAAGCAGCAAUGCGGCGUGAGAGAAGAAGGGCGUCGGAUAGGAAAGCUCUGUUGUUAGUGAAGAAAAAAGGGGGAAGGAAAUCCGCAGGGCGUGACGGUACGGAAUAAGAAAGCCACGGCUAACUACGGG
rnacentral:rRNA from 1 species